rnacentral:rRNA from 1 species
CAGUCGCCACGGGAAUACGAAGGGGGCUAGCGUUGUUCGGAUUUACUGGGCGUAAAGCGCACGUAGGCGGAUCGAUCAGUCAGGGGUGAAAUCCCAGAGCUCAACUCUGGAACUGCCUUUGAUACUGUCGAUCUGGAGUAUGGAAGAGGUGAGUGGAAUUCCGAGUGUAGAGGUGAAAUUCGUAGAUAUUCGGAGGAACACCAGUGGCGAAGGCGGCUCACUGGUCCAUUACUGACGCUGAGGUGCGAAAGCGUGGGGAGCAAACAGGAUUAGAUACCCCAGUAGUCCCUGUCUCUUAUAC